rnacentral:sRNA from 1 species
CCCUAGCCCUGAUGGGAACGGCAUCCUGUUGUCCCGGGGUUCGGGACAACAGAUAUAGUGGACAGCAGGAUUAGCU